rnacentral:rRNA from 1 species
CAGUAGCCGCGGGAAUACGAAGGGGGCUAGCGUUGUUCGGAAUUACUGGGCGUAAAGGGCGCGUAGGCGGCCAUUCAAGUUAGAUGUGAAAGCCCUGGGCUCAACCUGGGGGCUGCGUUUGAUACUUGGUUGCUUGAGUGGGGAGGAGGGUCGUGGAAUUCCCAGUGUAGAGGUGAAAUUCGUAGAGAUGUGGAGGAAUACCGAUGGCGAAGGCAGCCCCCUGGGCCAAUACUGACGCUCAUGCACGAAAGCGUGGGGAGCAAACAGGAUUAGAUACCCCUGUAGUCCCUGUCUCUUAUAC